rnacentral:rRNA from 1 species
UACGUAGGUGGCAAGCGUUGUCCGGAUUUACUGGGCGUAAAGAGCGCGCAGGCGGUUGAUUAAGUCGAAUGUGAAAGCCCCCGGCUCAACUGGGGAGGGUCAUUCGAUACUGAUCGACUUGAAGGCAGGAGAGGGAAGUGGAAUUCCGGGUGUAGUGGUGAAAUGCGUAGAUAUCGGGAGGAACACCAGUGGCGAAGGCGACUACCUGGCCUGUUCUUGACGCUGAGGCGCGAAAGCUAGGGGAGCAAACGGG